GCCGGGGUGGUGGAACUGGCAGACACGACGGACUUAAAAUCCGUCGGCCCAUGGCCGUAAGGGUUCGAAUCCCUUCCCCGGCACCA
rnacentral:tRNA from 1 species